UACGUAGGGUGCGAGCGUGUCCGGAUUCACUGGGUUUAAAGGGUGCGUAGGUGGGCAGUUAAGUCAGUGGUGAAAUCUCCGGGCUCAACCCGGAAACUGCCAUUGAUACUAUCUAUCUUGAAUAUCGUGGAGGUAAGCGGAAUAUGUCAUGUAGCGGUGAAAUGCUUAGAUAUGACAUAGAACACCAAUUGCGAAGGCAGCUUACUACCCGAAUAUUGACACUGAGGCACGAAGCGUGGGGAUCAAAACAGGA
rnacentral:rRNA from 1 species